CCAUCCCUUUUGCUCUGCCCUCUCAAAUGCUAAAAAUCCAGCUAUCAUUGUUGGAGCUGGAAUCUUUGAGCGGAAGGACAAGGAUGCAAUUUUCUCAACAGUUGAUGCCAUUUCCAAAAAUGCAAAUGCUGUUAGGCCUGAUUGGAACGGGCUUAAUGUGUUGCUACUUAAUGCUGCACAAGCUGCGGCUCUGGACCUUGGACUUGUACCAGAAUCUGACGGAAGCAUUGAAUCUGCCAAAUUUCUCUAUUUGAUGGGUGCUGAUGAUGUGAACUUGGAGAAAGUUUUGGAUGAUGCCUUUGUCGUUUACGAAGGUCACCAUGGUGAUCGGGGUGUGUAUCGUGCCAAUAUAAUUCUUCCUUCAUCAGCUUUCUCUAAGAAAGAAGGGACCUUUGCAAAUACAGAAGGAUGUGCUCAAACAACUGUACUAGCAGUCCCCACAGUGGGUGAUGCCAGGGAUGNNNNNNNNNNNNNNNNNNNNNNNNNNNNNNNNNNNNNNNNNNNNNNNNNNNNNNNNNNNNNNNNNNNNNNNNNNNNNNNNNNNNNNNNNNNNNNNNNNNNNNNNNNNNNNNNNNNNNNNNNNNNNNNNNNNNNNNNNNNNNNNNNNNNNNNNNNNNNNNNNNNNNNNNNNNNNNNNNNNNNNNNNNNNNNNNNNNNNNNNNNNNNNNNNNNNNNNNNNNNNNNNNNNNNNNNNNNNNNNNNNNNNNNNNNNNNNNNNNNNNNNNNNNNNNNNNNNNNNNNNNNNNNNNNNNNNNNNNNNNNNNNNNNNNNNNNNNNNNNNNNNNNNNNNNNNNNNNNNNNNNNNNNNNNNNNNNNNNNNNNNNNNNNNNNNNNNNNNNNNNNNNNNNNNNNNNNNNNNNNNNNNNNNNNNNNNNNNNNNNNNNNNNNNNNNNNNNNNNNNNNNNNNNNNNNNNNNNNNNNNNNNNNNNNNNNNNNNNNNNNNNNNNNNNNNNNNNNNNNNNNNNNNNNNNNNNNNNNNNNNNNNNNNNNNNNNNNNNNNNNNNNNNNNNNNNNNNNNNNNNNNNNNNNNNNNNNNNNNNNNNNNNNNNNNNNNNNNNNNNNNNNNNAGUUUAUUUAUGGUGUGUACCUUUUUGUAACUUAACCAGUACUUAGCUGUUGUGACUUCAACAGUUGCAGUGGUAUUUGUUUAUAUUGUCGAUUCCAUACGAGUUUUUGACUUUUGAACUUCGCUAUUAUUACUUGAAGCCUCAAAAAAAUCUUAUACCAUUGUUAACGUACAUAUAUAUGAGUUCGCUCAUGGGAAACAACUAAACAUAUCAAAAAAGGAAUGACUAGCUCUGUUUUGGGGACUGCUGUGUUCUGGCCAAGUAGCGUGAUAGUUAUAACACAGAUAUCCAUCCUAACACUUGAGAGUAUACCUAGGGGAAAAACAGAAUUGGCGCAAUUCCAUCCCCAUCUCCACCUUCUAUGAGUGCCUAGAGCACAAACUCAAUCAACCAAUAAGAAAUUGGAAACUUGUGGUCACUUGUUUUAAUCUACUUGCACUUAAAUAACAACAGAAGCAGACUAUGCUUAAUCAUUGACUCUGGCAUCAAUAGUUGAAAUAAUUUGAAAUCGUCGUUGACUCAUUACAGUAGUUGCUGGAGAUACAAGCCCACCACUGUGUACUACCAGGUCUGAAUCCAUUCUUCAAGAUCCUAUAUUUGCAAGAAUCAAAUCGUAUAGUAGAUGCAACUAUAAUACGCAAGCAAUAGGUCUUGGAGAAAUUAUUGCUUAAAUGAAAUGUACUCAAAAAUUUAUGCAGUAAAAUUCGGAUUAAAGUAUUGCAGAAGAAUCAAAAUGGUUAUCACGGAAUGCAAGCUCACAAUCUAGUGAUCCUGUGUAAAAGUUGGUGUCAGUUCAAAGAUAGGUGUAAAUAAAUGAGUAUUUUGCAGAGCUACAUAUUCAACAGAGAAACCAAAAUUUGCAAGGCUCGACAGGUUUAUGAAACUUCUAAGAAAGUUAUUAUUGGGAAGACAAAGCUAUAACCUCACAUUGGGAGUUCUGUAAUACAAAACCAUCUGAUUGAUCACAGCACUUGAUAUUUGAAGAGUUUCGCGACAGAUAGUAAAUAGUGCAAGCUUAUGGCCUUUAUCGAGAACCAUUAAAUUUCAGGCCUUACUCAUUUCCCACGAGUAAUUUUGCAAAUUGUUUUGUAUGCUUGAACCUAGACAAGAAGAUCUUAUUGUGCAUCAUAUUGAUUUUGGAAUUUCAGUACAAUUGUAAAGCACAAGGCCAAAUCCAAUAGGUCAAGAUACAAAACAAUUCCAAUGACAAACUUUGUUAAGAUUUACGAUUUUGAUCGUAACCAUAAUAUACCUUUGAUUCAAUAUGCAAUGUUAUAUGAUGCCUCAAAUUGAUGCAGUUGUUCAAGUCUAUGACGUGAAAAGUUUCCAAAUUAGAUCCUCAGUUUCUAAAGAUAAGAGCAAAAACAGUGAGAAAAUAAUAUGACAGAAGAACCCUAUAUGGUCCAUUGGUCCCAAGAGGAAAAAGGAAAAGAAAAUCAAUAAAAGAACAGUACAUAAACAUAAAACCCAAUUCCCAGAUUUGUAGAAAACACAUAUAUUGAGUACAAAAUAACCAUCUUGCCAAGAAAUGUCAACUCUUACACACAAAUAACAGGACAGAAAAUAAUUAAAUCAUCCGCAUAGGCAAAAUUGGAACCCAAUCAAAAAGAUUAUGCAGGAGCAAGAACUACUCAAACAAGAUUCAUGAUUAGUGUUAUUCAGGGCAUAUACAUACAACUUUAAACAAAUUCAGAGAGAAAGAGAGACCUUGGAAAGAAGGGAGUAAGGCUGCUUCAAAGAGUGUAGUUGACGAGACGAGCUUAUUGUCCAAUGAUAGAGACAAAACAAUCAUUACUUUGUCAAAAUAUUUCCAGUGCAGGCCCGAUCUUUUCAGAUGGGAAAAUUACAGAGACGUAUUUAAAAAGGAUAUUUUUAUAAAAGGUGGGAUGUAAAACUUUUUGAGGCCUAACUUAUGAUAAAAAUGUUUUUGAGGUCUUUUUAGGUUAAAAUGUUCAAAUUAUCCUUGUCAGAUUAUUGAAAUAUCCCAAAUGCCCUUAGUAUAUAAUGACUAUAAUACCCAUUUUUCAAAUAAAAAUUAUACCCUUUAGUUUCAUCUGUUAUUUUAUGGAAUUUCAAAUUUCUCCCCCUCUUCUUUUUUAAUUUAUCUAUAAUCUUCUACUUCUUCUUUAUCCUUUCAAUCUAGUUUUACUUGAAGUAUAAAGAAGAACAUCAAAGAAGAAAUCCUUGCAUUUAUACAUUUUAUAUUGGUAAGAUAUUAUUUUAACUUUUAAUGUUUUGUGAAUCUUUUUUUUUUUAAAUACUAUUUUUACAUAUAUUCAUUGUCAUUUGAUAGUCGCGCUAUCAAUAAGAUCACUGUUACGUCCCUAUCUGAAACACUUCAGAAAGCCUACCACCGCGUCGUACGAGGUGUACAACACCCAUCCGAAAUGGUUCCAAAGUGGAGCCACCAUCUGCUAACACUGCAAGAAGACGUCUCACACCGUCAAAUGCGUACACGUGUCCCACAUCCAACGAUUCUCCUCAUCUAUAAAUACCCAAAGUUUGACAAGAGACAAAGGUAAUGAAACUCUUACAACAUAACUUUCCAUAAGAAGCAAAUAUAUAUUCUGAUCCUCUUUAUUUAGCACAACCUUGGUAUUGUUCUGACCACCUGAGGCUAACUUGACCGUCGGAGUGUAUGCGGCUACCACCACCCUCGUUGGUUCUGGCCGUGUGUAUCUGACCGUGCGUUGACUAUGCGCAGGGAGGAAUACGUGGAGUAGCUAUCGGUUGACAACGUAGAGGGUCCAAUUUGCGAGGCCAACAGAUUGACACCGUCUGUGAAAAACUUCUCGUUCAAAGUUCUGCAUUCUCUAUCGGAGAAACCACCGGAAAACCAGUGACUUACCCUGAAAAGGGCACGUUCUUGAAAAAGAACAAAGUUGUGUUAUAAUCCAAAUUCUCAUCACCCUUGAAAAAGGACAUAAGAUGAGUUACAGCCAUGAAGACGAGAACCCUAUGAGAGAGGCCUCUAAGGAAGAGGUGCUCCGUAACAAUGUCACUCACCAGAGACCCCAUCAUCGGCAUCGUCAAGGUGAAAGAACAGCUAUGCUCACUGAAGGAAUGACCCAAAUAGUUGCGGGCAUGAGAGACAUCGCAGCCCAGAAUAUGGCGAUGCAUGAACUUCUUGUGCAAGCCUGAGGUCACCAGGGCUCUCAAAUGCCCCAAGGAUCUUAUCCAGUUCAGGAAGCCCUAGUAUCUCGUUCCCGAGGCCAUGUGAGCUAGCACAGAGAGCGCCCCCUCGAAAGAGAAGUGGAUGCUGAAGCUGCAUCCUAUGUAUAAGGGAGCCAGCCACCAGAACCAUAAUUGGGGGACAAUUUCCCUCAAGAAUAUGAAGCACAAAUGUCAGUCAGCGUCUUUGACCGAAUAGGGCAGGACCCUAGCAAUAGGGUCCACUCAGUGCGAAGAUCAGUUCGGCAAGAACAGGAGUAAGAACAAGCACCUCCUCCUCCUAGAAAUAGGAAGGAAAGAAUGGACUUAGUUGAUUGGGGGAGUCGAGGAGAAGGACCUCCACCUCUCCAGAACAUUCAAGAUGAUGAAGGGUCAAAUAGGCCUUGUCGAUCCUUUGAAAUUGACGACGAUGAUGAUAACCUCCCUUUCUCAAGGGAAAUCCGAAGUUUCCCAAUGCCUGCGAAUCUCAUGUCCCCUAAGAUCCCCAAGUACGAAGGAAAGGGGGAUUCGGAGAAGCACCUCAUUAAUCAAAUGACGGAGAUGAGCCUCAGGGGAGCCUCGCUUACUUUGAAGUGCAGAGCCUUCCACUUAACUUUAAGCGGAGCUGCUGAAGUAUGGUAUAGCAGACUUCCCCCAGAGCAUUAGGAGCUGGCCGGAUCUGAAGAAGUCAUUCUUGAACCAGUACCUCUCACGCAGAGAAGAAGAGGCCCCGGCGCAACGCCUGCAAGAUAUGAGGCAGGCUUCUGGAGAGACGUUGAAAAGCUAUUUCACCAGGUUUACAGACGAAAUCACGUAUUGCGAGCAUAUCACUGACAUAGAAGCCCUUUCAGCCUUGAAAGGUGGCCUCAACAUGAACACUUUGUUCUGGAGGGAUGUGCGCAGUAAAAAUCCCACCACUUAAGACGAGUUGGUAGAAAUGAUGAGAGUUGAGAUCGUCAGUGAAAAGAUGAUUGAUCACAGAAACUGUACAGCACAGGGACUCCCUCUGCCUCAGAGGUAGGUAGGUCGAAGACCCGCAGCACACCUUAUCACUCAGCAAUGGACUCAAGCAGGUCAUACAAUAGCUCCCACCUUCGGACAGGCACUGGCUUCUGCCACGUUAAAUGCAGUCCCGGUGUUGGCAUACGAGAAUUUUCCUAGCGGAGCAGGGCCAUCUGGAGGAACCGAUAAUAGUAAGUAGAAGAAGAAGAAACGGUUAAAUAAGCCCUUGGAAGGGGCAAGGUUUUGCACUUUCCACCAACUCUAUGGGCAUAACACCAGCGAGCGCAGAGACGCUAAUCGACGCCCGGAUUGAAGCAACCCACAUCCCUCCAGGAGGGACGAAUAUCCUCGCAGAUCGGCCUUCCUGAACAGGGGAGAGAAAAGGCAUAGAGAGUAGUCACCCGAAGAAGAAAAUCAAGGGACCGAGGACAGUCCAGACAGAGAGAUCAGGCCCCAUUUUCUAGGAGCCAAAUCAUUAGGGAGAUCGACACAAUUAUUGGGGGACCUCACAUCGGUGGCAACACCAGGAACGUCCAAAGAAAUUACACAAGGGAAGCAAAGGACCUGCCAAUGCUUACCUACACUGUCAAGGAGUCCCAAGUGGCCAAUAGGAUGGCCCCGAUCACCUUAUCCGAGGAAGAUGCACAAGGAGCUCACCACCCUUAUUGUGACGCAUUGGUUGUGAGAGCCGUAGUGGCAAGAAACGAGCUCAAAAACAUUCUCGUCGACAAUGGCAGUUCGAUGAAUAUACUAUUCGGCUCCAUCUUCGACAAAAUGCAAGUUGAACAUGGGUUGAUUCCCAUGAUGGAUUCACUGUUCGGAUUUACUGGAGACAGCAUCGUCCCACGAGGGCGGAUAACUCUGCCCAUCGAGAUAGGUUCAGCUCCUCUAGUGGCCCAACACUUUAUGGAGUUCUUGAUGGUCAACCACAGAUCGGCCUAUCAUGGAGUAUUGGGAAGACCCGCUUUGAAAGAUCUUUAGGCUGUCACCUUCAUCCACUACUUGUGUAUGAAAUUUCCAACUAAACAUGGGAUUGCCACGGUUUGAGGCAACCAGAUGGGCUCGAGGACAUGUUACUUAAACUCUCUACGAAAAUCGGGGCCCCGAACUGUUAAUGCGAUCAUAACUGAAGUUGUCAGUGAACCUAAUUUGGACAUGAAAAUGAUCGAUGCCCCUGAACAAGGGCAUACUUCCGAACAGGAGGAAGACAUCGACAUGGAAGAAGCCCCUGAGGAAGGGCACGCUCUUGAUGAAUUAGAUCGCCGGAUCAUUGACUCCGAGCCAAAUGCAACCCCAGUGGAAGAACUUGAAACCUUUGUCGCCAACCCAGAGGACCCCAGUCAGGUCCUGCGAAUAGGAAAGGCGCUGUUCCCCGAAGCAAAAGAAAAAAUGGUGAACUUUCUGAAAAGGAACUUGGAUGUCUUCGCUUGGCAGCAUGAAGACAUGGUAGGAAUAGAUCCAAGGAUUAGUUGCCAUCAUUUUAACAUCAACUCCUCCUGUGCCCCACAUAAACAGAAAGACAUGCCCUCAACUCUGAGCGGUAUGAGGCACUCAAAGACGAAGUGGACAAACUUAGUCGUAGCGGCUUCAUCAAAGAAGCCAUCUACCCCAAGUGGAUAUCCAACCUGGUUCUGGUGAAGAAGACCAGCGAAAAGUGGAGGAUAUGCGUAAACUUCACAAACUUAAAUAAGGCAUGCCCUAAAGACAGCUUCCCCCUUCCAAGGAUAGACCAAUUUGUGGAUUCCACCGCCGGACAUGAACUCUUGAGCUUCAUGGAUGAAUACUCGAGGUAUAACCAGAUACCCAUGUUUCGAUCCGAUGAGGAUUCUACGUCAUUCAUCACAGACAGGGAAUUGUAUUGCUACAAAGUCAUGCCCUUUGGAUUUAAAAAUGCUGGAGCUACAUAUCAGAGGCUGGUCAAUAUGAUGUUUGCUGAACUCUUUGGCAAAAUCAUGCUAGUCAAAAGCCUUCAGGUCAACGAACACUUAAGUCACCUUGACCAAACAUUUCAGAUACUUAGAAAAUAUAAAAUGAAGUUGAACCCCCUCAAGUGCACCUUUGGAGUAGCUUCGGGUUAGUUCUUGGGAUACAUUAUAAACCAAAGAGGGAUCGAAGCGAACCCAGUGAAGAUAAUGGCCUUGCUUGAAAUGAGGUCACCUCAGAAACCAAAGGAGGUCCAAAGCCUCAAUGGUCGGAUAGCAGCACCCAGUCGUUUCAUCUCCAGAGCCACAGAUAAGAGCUUACCCUUCUUCAAUGUGCUAAAGCAAUGAAAGAAGUUCCAAUGGACUUCUGAGUGUGAAGAAGCCUUCCAAGUGCUGAAGAAGCACUUAGGAGAGGCACCCCUGUUGUCAAAACCUCAAUCGGUAGCGCCACUACUACUGUAUUUGGCGGUUUCGGACGGGGUAGUCAGCGCUGUCCUAGUUAGAGAAGAAGAUGAGCACUAGUUGCUAGUAUACUAUAUCAGCAAAGCACUCCUCCCAGCUGAAACAUGCUACCCAGACAUGGAGAAAUUGGCACUCGCUCUCAUCACAGCCUCAAGGAAACUGAGGCCAUACUUCCAGGCCCACCCAAUUGAAGUUCUCACCAACUUCCCAUUGAAGCAAGUGCUACAGAGAACAUACACAUUAAGAUGCCUACUAAAAUGGGCAAUCGAGCUUAGUGAUUUCGACAUACUAUUCCAACCUCGACAUGCCAUCAAGGGCUAGGCCCAUGCAGAUUUUGUGGCUGAGUUUGCCAAAGCCCCAGAAAUGGAGGCGACAAUGGAACCAGUCGAGUUCCCAACGUGGAAACUGUUCGUAGAUGGAUCAUCAGGAGAGGCCGACUCUGAGGCAGGGAUCAUCUUGGAAAGCCCCAAAGGCCACAAGCUAAAUUGUGCAGUAAGGUUCGGCUUCAAAGCCUCGAAACAACGCUGUCGAAUAUGAGGCCCUUCUAGUAGGCCUUAGACUGGCAAGAAAAAUGCAGGUCAGAAGGCUCCUAGCAAGUAGCGAUUCUAGCUUGUAGUGAGUCAGGUCAAUGGAAACUUCGCGCCCAAAGACAAUAGCAUGGUUGCAUACUUGAAAUUGAUUCUGGACCUAGUUCCUCAUUUUGAAAGGUUUGAGCUGAUUCAAGUCUCACACCUAGAGAAUACUCAUGUAGACACCCUGUCAAAACUGGCCAGCAGCAAGGAUUUAGAGCUACUAAAGAUUGUACCCAUUGAGCACUUAUCAAAGCCCUCUAUUUUCGGAGGAGAAGAGGUGCUAUGGAUAGAAGGCACCCCAGUAUGUAUGCAGCCCAUCAUCGUCUACCUUAAGGACCAAUCACUAUCAGCUUCCAGAAGCGAGGCGAGGAAGUUAAAAAGGAGGGUUGCACACUUCGUCCUACGAGAAGAUGUCCUCUACAGAAGAGGCUUCGCCUCACUACUUCUUCGAUGUAUAGGAGGCAAAGAAACUAUGUAUAUACUCGAGGAAAUCCAUGAGGAAAUUUGCGGGAAUCAUUUCGGAGGAACGACUCUGGCACACAAAGUGCUCUGACAAAGCUACUUUUGACCGACCCUGAAAAGGGAUGCUUGCAAGUUUGUCCAGAAAUGUGACAAGUGCGAGCGCUUCUCAAAUAUUCAAAGGCAGCUUUCUCAGAGUCUCUCUGUAGUAACCAGCCCUUGGCCAUUCGCUAAUGGGCCAUCGAUUUCAUUGGCCCACUUCCAAAAGGAAGAUGAAGUGCGACUUUUACCAUUGUUGCCAUCGACUAUUUCACCAAGUGGGUCGAAGCUGAACCUCUUGCCAAGAUCACCGAGUGAAUACUACAAAAUUCGUCUAGAAGAGCAUCAUUUGCAGAUUCGGCAUUCUCCACUCCUUAGUAUCUGACAACGGGAGACAGUUCGACAACAAGAAAAUGUGAAGCUUAUGUGACGAACUGGGCAUAAAGAAGGAUUUCUCGACGCCUCGUCACCCACAAGCAAAUGGGCAAGUUGAGGCAGUAAACAAAAUAAUCAAGCAUACCCUGAAAAUGAAGCUUGACACCUCGAAAGGGGCUUGGGUCGAUGAGCUUUUCCACGUCCUUUGGGUGAUCAGAACAAUUACUCGAACUACAACAGGGGAGACACCCUUCUCUAUGACCUACGGAGCCAAGGCCAUGAGCCCAGUUGAGGUAGGGGUCCUAUCACACCGCCGAAUACACUUCAAUGAGAUCAAUAAUGACAAGGCUCGAAUGAGCGAACUCCACCUCCUUGAAGAAAUGAGGGAUACCUCCCAGGUGAACUUAGUGAAGUAUAAUAGAAAGAUGACCCGCUAUUAUAACUCAAAGGUCAAAAAUCGGACUCUUCGUCUGGAAGACCUCAUCCUUAGAAGGGUCUUCCAGUCAUCAAAGCCAACCAGGUCCGGAGUGUUGGAACCGAAUUGGAAGGGUCGUUACCGCGUACGCAAGGAAUCCCGACUUGAUACUUUUGAAAUUGAAGACAUGGCAGAGAAUGUACUCCCUCAUCAACCGAAUAUCGAAUAUUUGAGGAAGUACUAUUAAUAAUGAGCUUGUGUUUCGAUCCGAUCUUAAUGAUGUCUAGUAAACGUGUCAUGAUCCGAUCUCAUUUGUAACUUCCCUAUCUUACUAAGUGUUGAAAAUGCCUUAGUGAAGAGUGAUGUAAUUCCUCUUAAGUAAUGAUACUUCAGUUGUUUGUCACAUCGAUUAGUAAAUUAUUACUUCAGUUUGUCAAUAUGUUAAUUGAUCUGAUCUUCUGUUAUUAACUGGUUAUUGGUAAUGGGCGCUUAAGUGGUAAUCAUACAUAUACUUAAGUGUAAACAGCACAAUGAAAAAAUCGAAGCAACAACACUGGUACAAAAAAAUUCUAUUUUCAUUCAUUUGGGAAUUGAAUCACAAGAGGCGGAGCCAUUACAAAAAUUGAUCAAUGCCACGCGAUUUAUGCAACGUGAUUUUAUACCGCUAGUGUACGGUGUCAAGUUUUGUAAUAUAGUAAUAGAGUAAAGAGUGUCGAACCCACAGGGAUUGUAAUUUAAAUUUCAAUAAGUACUAUAAUUGUGCAAUUUCUACUUUAUUUAGACAAAUGUAUGAUUAAAUGGAUUUAAUGUUUUAUGAGUGAAUAAAUUAAACUAAUCUAACAUGAAUUGGAUGCGAAAAAAUUGGGAAAUACAAAUUAUCAAAUGAGAAGGCCUAGGGAUUGAUUUCACCUAACUUUCAAUUAUGGUUUAACGAUUUUCAAUAAUUCCAUUUAAUUUUCACAUAUUUAAAAGCAAGAAUCAUAAUAUAUUCCUGUCCCCUCUCUCAAGUGCCGGCUAGAAAAUAAUCCUAGAUUCAAAUUCCAAUAUCUCUAUUCCGAAUUGAAAAUCAAGAAUUUAUAAAAGUCCCGAUUCUUGUAUGGAGUAAGCUUCACAGAUUUUACACUUUCUCUCAAAACCCAUAAAAUCUAUGUUGUGUCAAUCUUAUGAUCACGCCUAAAUUCUCCUCUCUCGAGUGCCGGAAUUGACUAGCAUCUAUUCAUUCAAUUAUUGAUCAAGUAAUUGAAAGCAUUAAAAUUAUGACACAAUUAAAUAUAUGUGGAAAAAUCAAAGAAAUAAUUAUAAAAUCAUCAAACCAUACUCGAUUCGGCUACAUCAAACCCCUAAAUAAUUUGUUUAGUUCAUGAUAUAAUAAAUGAAAAUCAUACAAAUUAUAACAAACAAUAUAAGGAAAAUGAUAGAAAAAACUAGUCUUUUGGGUAGAUUUCAAUCUUCUUCCUUGAUGUUGUUCCUCCUUCCUUUUUGUGUCUUCAAUUUUUUUGCCUCCUUCAAAUUGUAUGGUUGAAUCCUUAAUCUUGCCCCCUUCCAUCCCCUUUGAAAAUAUGGUUUUUUUUUUGGUAUUUAUAGUAUGUUGGGGUUAUUGGACGAAUUAGGGUUGAGUUCGGCCAAGAAAAGAUUCCAAAAAUAGAAAAUCCCGUUUUUCCGCACAGGGGGCGCCACGAUGCCCAAUCACUGUUGUUUUCAGCAUCUUGAGUGCCAUGGCGCCCACUUUGGGUGGAAAAGGCAGUUUUCGCUUCCUUCCGUAUUUUUGCCAUAACUUCUUCAUCCGAUAUCCGAUUAAGAUGAUUCAAGAUGCGUUGGAAAUGUAACUCAAAGGGAUAUAACUUUUCUUCAAACAUCAUUUCCCAAUUCCAUCGUUUGCUAUGUCAGAAAUAGGUCUCAAUGUGAGACCAAAACUCCGACGUGUAACUUUUUGGUUGGAAAAUGAUUUGUGAUUAUAUUUUGACUAAAUUUGAUCUCUUUGACACCUUCCUUCAUCCAAUUGACUCCUAGCGCUCUCGGAUCUUCAUCGUGAGUUUCGGCACGACUUUUGAUUAAUUACAUUUUAAUCCUCAAACUUUGGAUCUCUUACAUUUUGAUCAUUUCAUCCAAUUUCGCUAACUUUUGCCUAUUUCCUUCCUUUGGCCUCUUUUAGCUCUUGUUUUCUCCACUUCCAUCAAUCUACAAAAUAACACCAAAAUCACUUGUUAGCACUUCUAAAAUACUCUCCAAGAUAGCAAAAUCAUGAAAUUAAUGGCAUAAUAUAAUGAGUGUAAAUCACUCAUCAAUCAAUCCUACUCUAUUGGGGCAUCUGCUGCCCCGGCCUCCUCCGCCCCUGUCCCAGGGACCUUUGGAGCAUCUUCGACGAGCCUAUCAGGUCGACCUCUGGUAGGCCUGUCAAACUCUGCCUCUAGCGAAGAUACGUCCAGAGUAGGAUGGACCUCCUUCAGCCGACCCAGUAUCCCUUGGGCGCUCCAGGAAGCCCAAAAGUUGGCAAAGUCAUCAUAUAGGGGGUGCUCUUCAAAGUGGUCGAUGAAGUUCUGUACAGCCACCUCCCCUACCGACUUUAGUUCUUCCUUCAAAGAGGCAAUCUCCUCAGCUUGGGCAUCCGCUUUCUGCCUCAGCCUCGCCUUUUCUUUGUUAGAGGCCUCCAGAGCCACCAUGGCGAGCCGGUGGUGCUCAUUUGCAUGAUCAACUCUUCGGGUCAUAGCAGCCACCUGGCACUCCACUCCAUAGAGCUCCUUCUUCAGCCGCUCUAUGUCCUCCUUUGCAGCCCCCAGCUGGGCCUCAGCCUCCUUCCUUCCUUUUCCUUCCUCCUCGGCCUUGGGCUGGGCCUCCCUCACUACAUCGCCAUAGUGCAUCGCCUCUUCAAGGUGCUUGGCGAGGUCCUCCUUCUUAGCGAUGAGGUCUUUUACCAAACCCUCGAAUUUGAUGCUUGUACUUAAGGCUCGGGCCCCACAAGUACUGUUGGCUGCGACCAUAUCCUCGGCAAUGUAGGAAGCGGUGUGGUCUCUCCACUCCUCAAUCUAAUACUUACUGUGGACCACCGUCACCACAGUUGUCUCUAGAAGAAGGGCCUCCAACAUUUCCUUCAUCGGCUCCUCUAAAUUGAUGCCCAAGAAGUCCACCUCUUUCGAGGGACGGGCCAUUUUCAUCUUUUGCUGCACCGGCGCUUGAGCAAUGGGCACAGUGACGACUGGCGACGUAGCCAGGGCAGGAGAAGCCUCUGAAGACGCAAGCCUCUUCUCCGGGAUGACCACCCCGGUUGGAAUUGUGGUCUGCCUCAAAGCCGGAGGCGACCUUGCUACAGUUGGGUGCUUCGAGGCGGCAGCAGGCCUUUUUCCUUUUCGCAGCAGAUUGGUGUCCAGGUCCUUCGCCACCUCCUCCUCGGUGGGAGGCUGGAGCCUUUUGCUGGCCUGCACCAGAUCCUCCAUCUGCUUUUUGUAUGUAGACGAGGAGGUCUUCAAGGCUCUCGCCUCUGCCAUCAUCCUUUGGAUGGUUUUGAAGUUUGGCCUCAGAGGUAGCUUCUUAUUAAAGUUAUUUGCAAUAGGGCAGGCAAAUUAGUACAAGUGUAAAGAGUUCGAAAAGUACUGAAAGAAUUCGCUUCGGGACAUUUACCUUGGGAGGUCAUCAAAUUGUGCGUCACGAAGUGAACGUUUUUCUUUAUCAACAGGUGGUAUGACCUCUUCUUCGAAGGUAGCUGAUAAAUAAUGCAGAUGAUGUCGAAGUUGUUAGCGGAAAGCUCGCACCAAGGAAGACAACCUUCAAAAACAAACAGAACAUUUAAUAACCGAAUCGAAGAAGAAUAAACAAGAUAUACAAAGCAACAGAACUCACUAAGUGUUGAAUACUUUGUGGGGGCCGUAAGAGGCACCAGGGGGUCCCCCUCCAUCGUGUCCCAUCUUCUGGCAGCCCAGCACCAUGAGCUCUUCUACUCAUUGAUGGAGCUCGGCAGAUCAAGCACGAAUGGAGUGUGGAAAUCCUAAGAGGUUAAGUAGUACCAGCCUCUGGUCUUAUCCCCCAGCCGCUACCUUGGGGAUGUAGAGGGUCUGGAAUACAGAAUAAGGCAUCUCCACCCCAAGCGACGCUUCCUUCCACAACAUCCAGGAGCCCACCAUUUGGCUUCAGGAGUUCGGGUCAAUUGGGUAGGAUCUAAGCCGUAUAACCUAAGUACCAUACGGAAGAAAGGGUAGAUUGAGAGCCUAAGGCCAGCCCUAAGGAUCACCUUGCUAAUGGCCACACACCCUAGCCUAGGGUAGCAGGCCCACUCGUCAGGUUCUGGUAGGAUUAGAUCUUUGCUAUCUGGGCUCAUAUAUUUAGCCCUACGUCUCUCCAGGUCGGCGCCCUUUAUUUUAGAGGGGUAAUCCAAUGCUCCCCAAUGCACAGAUGUGUUAGUUAGGCUAUAUGGCCUCUUCCAUAGGUUUUCCCCCCCAAUAAUCAUCUCGGCUAUCUCUGAGAAGGUCGCCAAAAUGGGCUCAUCCAUCCUCACUAGUUACAAUCCCCUACCCGAACUACCACUACCUUCAGAAGCCAUUUUCAGAAAGAGCGUCCCAACUCAUCUACACCUUUGAAUUCAAAUGCAAUCAAUCUAGGCCGUCUGUCGCAUCAUCAAUCCAGGCCAUUGAAACGAAACACCAGAUUAGAUCUACGCCUAAGAUCUAGCUGUGACAUUUAUGCUCACGCGAAAAGCGUCACCUAGAUCAACAUCAGCCAUCUAUAAUAAGUAGCCACUGCAACCUUUUACGCGAAACGCCCAACUAUAGCCUUGGAAAUACGCGACAGCUGUCAAAUCAUUUAAAGUCAGAGAUGCCCACCUCUGAUUGAGCUCCUCACUCAGCUUUACUAAACUUAGACGUACCUGACGUGAAGUCCCCUGUGGGUCAUCUCCUCGGAGCUACAUUCCUUCCUAAGCUUUACGAAGCUUUAGCCAUCUCCCAAAUCGUCGUCCCCUGCGGGUUGUCGCACCGGUAGCAGAUGAGCUCCUCACUUAGUUUUACUAAGUUUAGACGCACCUGACACGAAGUCCCCUGUGGGUCAUCGCCUCGGUAGCUGCGUUCCUUCCUAAACUUUACAAAACUUUAGCCAUCUCCCAACGCGUCGUCCCUUAUGGGUCAACGCACCAGUGGCAGAUGAGCUCUUCACACAGCUUUACAAAUCUUAGCCGCAUCUGAUGCGGAGCCCCCCUGUGGAUCAUCGCCUCGGAAGUUGCGUUACAAAGCUUUAUCAAUCUCCUAACGCAUUGUCUAGUUGGCAGCACAUCAACCUCGGAUAAGUUCUUCCCUUACAUAGUAAUGAAUCUUUAGCGCGUCUGCCUGUGGUCAAUGCUUCGGUAAACACAGAAAAUCGACCUAUAAGCCCUCACAAAUCGCGGUACCCAUCCCAAGGUAGACAUACUCGAUCGGGAAAACAAGUCCACCCAUGAUAUAAAUAUUCAUACCUAAACUUGGGGGGACCACUGUUACGCCCCUAUCUGAAACACUUCGAAAAGCCUACCACCGCAUCGUACGAGGUGUGCAACACCCAUCCGAAGUGGAGCCACCAUCUGCUAACACUGCAAAACAUAGACAAUUUACUGAACUGACCGAGGCACCCUCGUCCCUGAAUUCGAAGUGCAGUUUAAGCCGAAAUUCUCUAUUAGAGGAUCCGUCGUCAAUUUCAAAAAGAAAUCUAUGUUAAGAUCCUUUCUGCCCCCAAGAUUCAAUUGAUUUGACGUUUCCAUGAGCCUAGUUGAUGUGAAGUAUCAACUUUAUGUCAACUCAACUCGGGAGAAGUAAUUACCCGCCCACUCUAUAGACGCGGCCGAUUGAUGCCUAUGAGCAGACGUCUCACACCGUCAGAUGCGUACACGUGUCCUACAUCAACGUUUCUCCUUAUCUAUAAAUACCGAAGGUUUGACGAGGCAAAGGUAAUGAAACUCUUACAACAUAGCUUUCCAUCACAAGCAAAUAUAUAUUCUCCUCUCCUUUAUUUAGCACAACCUUGGAAUUGUUCCGACCACCUGAAGCUAACUUGACCGUCGGAGUGUAUGCGGCCGCCACCACCCUCGUUGAUUCUGGCCGUGUGCAUCUAACCGUGCAUUGACUGUGCGCAGGGAGGAAUACUUGGAUUAGCUAUCGGUUGACCACGUGGAGGGUCCAAUUUGCGAGGUCAACAAUCACUGUCAAGUAUCGUUUUCCCAUCCCUCGACUCGAUGAUAUGCUAGAUAUGAUGGCCGGUGCCACAAUCUUUUCCAAAAUCGAUUUGAAGAGUGGGUAUCAUCAUAUUCGGAUCCGCCCAAGAGACGAGUGGAAAACUGCAUUUAAAACGAAAAAUGGUCUAUACGAGUGGUUGGUAAUGCCUUUUGGACUAACCAAUGCUCCAAGUACUUUUAUGAGGCUGAUGACACAGGCCUUUCGGCCUUUCAUGGGCAAAUUCAUUGUCGUAUACUUUGAUGACAUCCUUGUGUACAUCAAAACAAGGGAACAACAUUGAGAUCAUCUUGCGCAAGUUUGCUCUACACUGCGUGCAACAAGCUUGUAUGCCAAUGUGAAGAAACAUUCUUUCUUCACGGAUACAGUUAUGUUUCUCGGCUUCGUUGUUCCCGCUACGGAAGUAUCUAUUGAUCCUGUGAAGAUUCAGGCAAUUGUUGAGUGGCCUGACCCCAAGAAUAUACAUGAUGUUAGGAGUUUUCAUGGGUUAGCUACCUUCUAUCGUCGUUUCAACAAGGGGUUUAGUACGAUCAUGGCUCCCAUCACAAAGUAUGAAGAGAGGAGAAUUUCAUUGGACACAAGAAGCGGCUAAGGCCUUUCAGUUAAUCAAAAAACAAAUGACUGAGGCUCCUAUCAUGCGGCUCCCAGAUUUUUCCAAAGUUUUUGAGAUCGAAUGUGAUGCGUCAGGGAUAGGAAUAGGUAGAGUCUUGAGUUAAGAACACCAUCCUAUUGCUUAUUUUAGUGAGAAAUUAAAUGAUGCCAAGCAAUGGUACUUGACUUAUGAUAAAACAUUGUACGCAGUUGUACAAGCCUUGCGCUAUUGGCGUCAUUACUUAUUACCCCACGAAUUUGUCCUUUUUUCAGACCAUGAGGCCUUUCGUUUCCUUAAUUUCCAAAGACGAUUGAAUUCUAGGCAUGGCCGCUGGAUCGAAUAUUUGUAGGCCUAUUCUUUUGUCUUUAAGCAUAAAAAGGGCGUUGAAAACCGAGCUGCUGACACUUUAAGUCGUCGCAUUUCCUUGUUGUCCAUUAUGAGUGUUAAGGUUAUAAGGUUCGAAAGACUUAAGGAAGAGUAUGAGUCAUGUUCCGAUUUCAGAGACAUUUUUCUUGCCUUGCAAAAUGGGGAGUUGGACACCACUGAUGUUUUCGUUUGGAGGAGGGCUAUCUUUUUAAAUUCAAUAAGUUGUGCAUCCCGAGGACUUCAGUACGAGACUUUAUAGUUUGGAAAAGUCACGCUGGCGGGUUGGCUAGACAUUUUAGGCCUGAUAAGACCAUAGAGGAGAUUGAACAUCAAUUCUAUUGGCCUAAUUUAAAGACAGACGUGGCUAAAAUUGGUGUCACAUGUAACACCUGUCAGCAUUCUAAGUAAAAGAGGCAGAACACAGGCCUCUACACACCUCUCUCUAUCCCUAGUCCUUGCCAAGACGUUAAUAUGGAUUUCGUGCUAGGGUUGCCACGUACUCCAAAGAAACACGACUCCAUUUUCGUUGUCGUAGAUUGCUUUUUGAAGAUGGCACACUUUCUUCCUUGUAACAAAAUUUUUGAUUCAUCUAAGGUUGCUAAGUUAUACUUUCAUGAGAUCGUCAAGCUGUAUGGCCUCCCAAAGACCAUUGUCUCGGAUGGGGAUGUGCGUUUCACUAGCUAUUUUUGGCGAACCCUAUGGAGUAUGGUUGGCACUAAACUGAAAUUCUCUGCAGCAUGCCACGCACAAACGGAUGGUCAAAUUGAAGUUGUUGACCACAAUCUUGGUAAUCUAUUAAGGUGUCUAGUCCAGGAAAAUCUUAGGAAUUGGGACUUAUUUUUUUCUACCGCCCAACUUGCAUACAACAGUUCAGUGAAUUGGUUUAUAGGUAUGAGUCCUUUUGAGGUUGUUCAUGGUUUUAAGUCUAGGAAGCCGUUAGACCUUAUUCUCAUGUCUUCACAUGCUAGUGUGUCCAUGUCAGCUGAGUCUUUUGCACAACAUUUGCGUGACUUGCAUAUUGAGAUCAAUAAGCAGCUAGAAGCGAGUAAUGCAUUAUAUAAAUUUUGAGCUGAUCUGCACAAACGCCACGUUGAAUUUAAUGUUGGGAAUUAUGUUAUGAUUCGAAUUAGAUCGAAACAGCGUCCAUCUGGGCCUACUUCCAAAUUACAAGCUCGUAGUGCUGGUUUUUUUAAAAUUUUAAAGCGUGUUGGUCCAAAUGCAUAUUUCAUUGACUUACCAUCACACUUUGGCUACACCCUGCCUUUAAUGUUGAGGACUUAGUUUCUUAUAAAGGUCAAUUUCACCCUGCUGAUGAUACUUUCGUACCUCCAUUUGUGGACCCUCAUCUUGAACAUGUUAUCCCUGCACCGAUUCCACUUGUUGCAGCACGUAAAAAUAAAAUUGAUAUUAUUCUAGAUGCACAGACCAUAUUAACCAAGGAUGGAGACAUUCAGUGUUUCCUUGUUCGUUGGGAGGGUCGUCCUGAUUCUGAUUGUAUUUGAAUCUCCAAGGAGACACUUCAACAGCUUGAUCCCGAUUUGUUGGAGCAUUAUAUGAGUUAACAAGAUCUUCCAUUACCAGGAUCACCAUCCUUAUGUGUCUAUAGACGUUGAAAAAAGUUUGCUCAACCGCUUAGUUUGUGGCUGGGAGAUUGACAGCAGCAUUUUGUAGUUUACCUACUUGAUGGGGUUGAAUUUUUCUCCCAUUCCAGAAGAGUUGAUGUGGACAUCAUACUCAUCAUCAGGCCAUUUGUGGGCCAUUUUUAUCUUCUAUUUUAGGUUUAUAUUUUGUAGGACUUGUAUAUGAGUUUGGCCCAUACCCAAAUUUAGUAUUUUGUCAUUUAUAUGGUUGUAACUUCUCAUUUGAUGAGUGAAAGACAUUUUCUUUGUUGGUUUGUCCACGUCUCUUCCCUCUCUCCCAGUUUCCCCUCUCCUCUACUUUCUUCUUCUUCUUCUCCCUGAUUGAUCCUACAUCAUAUCUCAAGACUGGAUCUUUUGUUGAUUGGGUUUCUUUAGAGUUCCAUAACAUGAAAUUGAGAAGAUUUCAAUGGUUGCUACUUUUUGAAUGUUUGAAUUUUUUUCUGGUCUGAUUGUCGGUAUAAUAUUUUUUUCUAAAAGUUCUCCAUCUGCUUUUGAACCUUUUUUGGACCAAACCCGUACUUCCCAUUGUUAUUUUUUAUGACCCUAGUAUUAAUAAAAUGAAAUAUACAUGAUUUUGAUCGAGAGUCCGCAGAUUGUUGUAUUGUUUUCUUUUUCUUUUUCUUCUUCUUUUCUCUCCUCCCUGGGGCAUGUGGGCUACUCCUGCAGAUCAUUUCAAUGCAUCUCUAAGUUUGGUUCUGCUGUUUAUGAUGUAAAUUCAUCUAUGGUUGGCUUCUGUUUUACAAUUUGAUUUGAGGAAUUCGGUUUCUUGAGGUUUAAUAUCAUAGAUCUAUUCAGCACAUUUGGUCUAAAGUCUGAUUCAUUUUGUCCCCCCCUUUCGGUGUAGUGAUCUAACCACAGUUUUUGGUUUGAUAUUAGUAUUAUUUUCAUUCUCACCUUAAUAUGGGUAUAAUCUUUGUAAGCAUGUUACUCGUGUUACGCCUCGAUGAUUCGCGCCUAGAUACCGAAGUGACAUCUCGAUGAUUCGCGCCUAGAUACCGAAGUGACAUCUCGAUCAUUCGCGCCUCGAUACCGAAGUGCCAUCUCACCAUACGCAGAACCCGUUUACUCCGACCUGAAAAUGACCCUCUCGAAACUUCUCCGAAGUGAUAUAUCAAUUCCUACUACUGAUCUGCCAAAGCAUCUCACCUCCGAGGUCGAGAUCAAGUGGACCCCACUUAAAAGAUCCGCCGCCAAUUUAAGAUUUGUCCUGCACCUAAGGCUUAAAUUGAUUUGACGUCUCCAUGAGGCUAUUUGAUGUGACUUAUCAACUUUAUGUCAAUUCAACUCGGGGGAAACAAACUUCCGCCCACUCUACAAGCGCGGCUGAUUGACGCCUAUGAGCAGACGCUUCAUACCGUCAGAUGUACACACGCGUUCCACAUCCAGCGGUUCAUACCACCUACAAAUACCCAAGGUUUGACAAGAGGCAAAGGUAAUGAAACUCUCAAUACAUAGCAUUCCAUAACAAGUUUAUAUAUUCUCCUCCCCCCCCCUUUUUAUUGAUUGAUUUGUGUAGCCCCUGGGCACUGUUCCGACCACCCAAACCUGACUUGACUGUCGGAGUGUAUACGGCCGCCACCACCCCCGUCGAUUCCGGCCGUGUGCGCCUGAUCAUUUGUUCAUUGCGCAGGGAGGAAUACGUGGAGUAACUAUAAGUUGGCAACGUGGAGGAGCCAUUUUUGGAGGUCAACAACUCGCUUUGUUGGUUGUGAUUUCUAAAAUUAAUCUUUCUUAAUAGUUUCUAUAUUUUCUCCUCAAUCUGUCUUUAGGAAUGAAGAUUAAGACUGAUACGCCUAUUGCAAAGAAGGCAAGGGAAGGAGUGAUGGAGUUCCUAUUGAUGAAUCAUCCAUUGGACUGCCCAAUUUGUGAUCAGGGUGGAGAGUGUGAUCUUGAGGACCAGUCUAUGGCUUUUGGUUCUGAUCGAGGUUGUUUUACUGAAAUGAAGAGAUCGGUUGUUGAUAAGAACCUAGGCCCAUUGGUCAAAACUGUUAUGACUCGAUGUAUUCAGUGUACAAGGUUUGUAUCUGGUUCACUUAUAAUUGACCUUCCUAAUUGGGCAUAGUGAUGUACAUCAACUAAGGUUUCUAUUGCAUUAAUGAAAUUAAUUUUUUCAGUCUUCUAGAUAGAAGUUAAAUUGGCAAUAUAAUGGUUCAUUUCUAUUAGGCUGCUUAUGGCAGUUUCUAGCAUGAAUUUAGAAGCUAAGAAACAGAAUAAGCUGGCUGAAAUUUUUCGAGACAAACCUUGCCAUCGAUUUCAUGACUAUAUGUCAGUAUCUGUUUCUUUAGUGGUCAACUGUCAACAUUGUCUCAGAGAGGCCUAUUCUGUACUUCAAUAGAUAAUGUUUGGAACCUGUCGUAAUGUAGUCCACUUGAGACUGUACUUGUUCAAACUUAUAACUAACUACAUUCCUAAACUUGAAUACAUUUCAUUAUGUUAAGUGCAAUAGUUAUAUUCUCUCCAGAUGUUUUAAAUUAAUGUAAUUCAGGCUGUUUCUAUAUGCUGAUCUAUUAUAGAUAAACGUGUCAAGUGAAUGUAAAUUAUAAGCAUGUUUUGGAAGUUUUUAUAAACGGUUUAAGUUAUAAAUAGAUAGAAGUAAGUGGUAUAAGUAGUAGUCUUUACGUGUCUACGAGUGUGGAUAAAAGUAGUUUGACUGAUUGAAAACAGUUUAUAAAUAUUAGCCAAACAUAUGCUGAUUUUUUGAAAACCAUCUUCAGUAAGGAUAUGUUCAUCAAACAGGUGUGUAAGGUUUGCAACUGAGUAGUUGGUGUUCAGGAUCUUGGCAUGCUGCGUCGUGGCAGUGGAGAAGAGAUUGGAACUUAUGUAGAGAAACUAAUGACAAGUGAACUUUUAGGGAAUGUGAUAGAUAUUUGUCCUGUAGGAGCCCUCACUUCAAAACCUUUUGCCUUUAAAGCUUGAAACUGGGAGUUGAAGGGAACAGAGAGCAUUGACAUCACUGAUGCUGUUGGCUCAAACAUCCGAAUUGACAGUAGAGGUCCAGAGGUCAUGCGCAUUCUGCCACGAUUGAAUGAGGUAUUUUGAAAUGUAGUGUUGUUUUCCUAUCAAUUUUGUUUCACGUAUCAAUUGUUUUAAGCCAUCGCUGAGGCUAUUGAGAGGAUUUGGCGGACGGACAUUGUCUUAGAGAUAAUUUCAACCUUAGAUUAUGUAUUGAAUCAAAUUUCUGUCAACCUUAAGCUGUGUUUGUUCUGAUUGUGAUUUUAGUAUGCAGUGGAAAUAAGGAUAGAUUCUAUCAAGACCAAAUCAGUUCAGUAACAAGAACAGAACAAAGUAUAUUUUGAGAGAAACUUUUUUUUUUAUAUAUAUGAAUUAUUUGAUUUGAGUACAUGACAAACCUAUUUAUAGGAUAGCAUAAGACUACUAAGAGUCACACAAUUAAGAAGAAUAAUAAUGACUAAUAAUGAUGGUGAAUGCAUUCAUCUCUUCAUCUUCCUCUCCAACACUCUUCAUCUUCCUCUCUAACACUCUUCAUAUUUCAUCAUGUGGAGAAAACCAAAAGUCUUCAAUAAUCAACAAGCUGCUUAAUUUGGCAUUGUUGCCAGUUGUUUAAGAGGUCUCUACAUUUUCGAUUUCUAGAGCUUAAGUUUCGUAAUUUAAUUCUGGCGGCAUCUUUAUUUUGUCAAUAAAUGAUUUCAUUGUAUUCGUAACUUAUGCUGCUUAGACAUGGACGUAAUAAAGGAUAUGCCAUAUCUAGCUGAGAAUAUUGUAAAUUGGGUCUCCGCAAGCCCUAUGUUGAUAUCUGAUUUUGUUUACUUUUUCAAAUUGAUCCAGUGUUGAGAACCUUUUUUCUUGUUUUAUGAUUAACUUCCCCCUUUUAUUUAUCUAUCCCCCACCCCACCCGGUGCAUGAGUUGUAUAAUAUUGCGAAGUUGCUCUCAGACAGUGUUCAAAAGAUGUUAUUUAUUCCUUUGUUAUGUAUUGUUAACAUAUUGACCACAGUUUUCAUGCAAACUCUUUGACUUGAUUUGCUAGUUGUCUUGUUGAAACAUGAGAGUAGGUUUAAAUCUUUUGUUGCACAUAUAUGCAGGACGUCAAUGAAGAAUGGAUAUCAGAUAAGACACGUUUCUUUUAUGAUGGUCUGAAGAGGCAGAGGCUAAAUGACCCCGUGAUUCAUGGUGCAGAUGGGCGCUUCAAGACUUUAAGCUGACGGGAUGCACUUGCUGUGGUCGCGAGGUCAUGCACCAAGCUAAACCAGAGGAAAUUGUUGGGGUUGCUGGUAAGUUGUCUGAUGCAGAAUCCAUGAUGGCACUAAAAGAUUUUUUGAACAAGAUGGGGUCAAAUAAUAUUUGGUGCGAAGGAAAUGGCCCCCCAAACCCAAAUGCUGACCUGCGUUCUGGAUAUAUCAUGAACACUACCAUCAGUGGGUUGGAGAGAGCAAUUGUUUUUCUUUUAGUUGGCACACAGGUAAGCAUCCUUGCUAAUUGAUAUGUAUGGGUUAUGACUUUUGAUGACUUCUAUGUCUAGUGUCAAUCUCAACAUAGAUUUUUAGCUUGGUAGGCCUCUCUAACCAUUGCCAAUUUGCUUUAAAUUGGAUGCCUGGCAAGGUAACAGUGUAAGGUUUUUCGAUUUUUGCGCUUCUUAAUUUUUGGUUAUAGCGUUGAUCUGAAUACUCUUGUCAUAGUACAGUAUGAUAGUACAGUAUGACCUCUAUAAGCUAAUAACCUCUAUUAUAUAAUAAAUUUCUUGGUCCCAACAUUAUUAAUUCAUAGAGGUAAUAUUGUAUAGUCAUAGUUUUGGAAUAUGCUAUUCGUGGACUAGUGUAGAACGGCUGGAAAACUUUGAGAAUGACGUACACCACAAUUGACUAUCUACCAUUCAAUAAACGCGAGGCUGUCUCAAAUUACUAAUCCAACCUCAAAAUAAUAGAAAACAGAUGAGUAAUCAUCAGUUGACUGGUGCAUGAAGUUGGCCGUUGUUUGAUACUGGGCAAUAUCAUUUCUGUUGAUGGUGACGUAUUGGUUGUGCUGAUUCGAUGACUAAUUUUAAAUGUUUCUUUGGAUGGAGCUCAAGAAUUUCUUGACAAAUUAUUAUUGGUAGAUACAAGUGAUACAAGCACAGUGUGCUUGUUUGAGCCCAUAGAAUGACAUGUUCAUUUACAGACACAAGUCGAUGAGAAUUACCCUCUAAGCCCAGUGGUUGGUGCAUAAAAACAUCUUCAUCUAGCUGACCAUGGAGAAAUGCAUUUUGGAAAUUCAUUUGGAAGAUACACCAUUGUCAAGGUAUUUCAAUGGGUUUCACAAUUCUGAUUGGUGUAUGUUCAUUAACUGGAUUGAAGGUGAGAGCACUGUUUAUCCUUGUACCCUUGAUAAACCAUUUCGUGACAUGCCUGAGAAUUUUGCUGGCCAAUGUUACUUGUUGGCAUUGUGUAUAGAAGAAAUGCUUAUUUGCAGCUGAAUAUGUAUAUGUAAUUGGGUUAGAUGGUUAUAAGUACCAAGUGUUGUUACCGGUGAGGGAUUUAUCUCAUCACGCAUGAUUUUCCUUCAGGUUUUUAGUGGAAGCUGUUAGAAAAAAUUAAUUAGCUGCAGUAGUGAUCUGAACAAUAUAAUGCAAAAAUAUAAAACUUAUCGUCCGAUCGAGUCUCGUGACAGCACGAUGUCCUAAAGUGAAAUUGCCCGUCAAUAAUUGUUGCGACCUCCGUGGACAAUCACUCCCAGGAUACAACGAUCGUAAACCACUUGUACAGCAAUCACGAAUGAUUUUUCUAGAACUCUCAAUUGUACUCCAGAAUAGAUAUAAAAACCCGAAUAUAAGACAUUCACAAUAUGAAAAGAGUGAUUGAUGCAAGAUGAUUUUUCUAUUUUCUUUUUGUGUGUCUUUUUCCCAAAACGAGAUAUGGGUUUAUAUAUGCAAGAUAGUAGUAAUAGUCUUCACCAUGUUAAUGCAGAAUUUUAAUGACUGAGUAGUGGGUGUUUUAAUGGCUGUUAGUGGGUUGUUACAAAAACAAACAGUCAUAAAAUACUGGCUAGUUUUACCCAUUAAAAAAGAAAAAAAUAUUUAUUUUAGUCAAGAAAGCCCAAGAGCCCAAGGCCCCAAUCAAGACAUUUUAAUAUCUGCGUGGGGAGUGACUCGAACCCCUGACGUCCCACACAAAUGUCACAUUUCCCACCACUUUGACACUUUAUCUAAUUUGAUUAUUUCUUUCACAUUUUAUAUUUAUACCAUAAAUAUAUAACAAUCCCCCACAUGAAAGAAAUAAGAUAAAUGAAAAUAUUAUUCUGGAGUACGGUAGAAAUCAUGCAGGCUUAUGUGUCUAUCGACUUGAACCUUGGCUUUGUAUAUUCUAUCGAGCUUACUAACUGUAGAGUGAACUAUGUCUUGAACUCUACAAUUAUAGUUGCAAACUGAGACAAUAGAACACACACAUGAUUUCUAGAACAGUCAUUGAGUUCUCGCGGUUGUGUUCAUUUCGACCGUGAACUUUCCCAGUUUCUUUGAGUGCUCUAAAGAAUUCGCCUCAAUUCUCAUAGGAAGCGACCCCACUUCCACACUCAAAUAGGUGGUACCAUCAAGGGUGCACUGUAUUUAAACACCCCACUGAAUAUCAGCUAUAGUAAGCAUUAAGAGUAUUAGCUCAUCCUCUAAUCAAUACAGUUGGUACUACGCAUCAUAGGGAGGGGUUUGGAAUAAAUCCAAUGUAGUACCCCCACAGACCACUCCAAUAACUUUGUUGUCCCAUUGAACCUUGACCAUGGGAUCUCCAAUUGCAAGGUUGAGUUUCCAUUAUAGGUGAUCUAAUACAUAAUAGGCUUUAGCCCCAUCCCCCUCGAUGUUUGUUGAAUUAGUUCUCUAGCUAAUCCUUUGGUUAAUGGGUCAGCAAUGUUAUCACUUGACUUCACAUAGUCAAUAGCUAUAAUUCCAUCUUUAAGCAGCUGACGCACAGUAUUGUGCCUCUUACGAAUAUGUCUAGACUUUCCAUUGUAGGAUGAAUUUUGAGCUCUUGAGAUAGCUGCUUGAUUAUCACAAUGUAUUGAAAUAGUUGGAAAUGGUUUAGACCACAAAGGAACAUCCAUAAGAAAAUUCCUUAACCAUUCAGCCUCCUCACCUGCCUUAUCUAAAGCUAUGAACUCAGAUUCCAUAGUAGAUCUAGCAAUGCAGGUUUGCUUAGUGGAUUUCCAGGAGACAGCUCCGCCUGCUAAUGUAAAUACAUAUCGACUUGUAGAUUUACUUUCAUUGGUAAAGGAAAUCCAAUUAGCAUCACAAUAUCCCUCAAGUAUAGCAGGGAAUUUGGUAUAAUGUAUUCCCCAGUCUAGAGUGUAUCUCAAAUACCUCAAGACUUGAAUAAGAGCAUCCCAAUGUUCAUUGUUAGGAUUACUAGUAUACCUGCUAAGUCUACCGACAGCAUAUGGUAUAUCAGGUCUUGUACAGUUCAUGAGAUACAUGAGACUGCCCAUUACUUUAGCAUACUCUAAAGCGGAAACACUAGGACCUGAAUGUUUUCUCAAAUGACGGCUUGCAUCAUAAGGUGUUUUAGUAGGAAUACAGUUGUAUUAAUUAAACUUCUUAAGCACUUUUUCUACAUAAUGUGAUUGGGUCAAAAUAAUUCCUUCAGAAUGUUUUACUAUUUUGAUUCCUAGAAUAACAUCAGCAACACCCAAAUCUUUCAUUUCAAAGUGCUUGUUCAGAAACCACUUAGUUUUAUUAACCACAUCUAAACUAGUUCCCAUAAUCAGCAUAUCAUCAACAUAUAAGCAAAUUAUCACACCACAAUUAUUUUCAAAUUUGCUAUAUAUGCAUUUAUCUGCUUCAUUUAUCACAUAACCACUUGAUGUCAAAACUGUAUCAAAAUUUUCGUACCAUUGCUUAGGAGCUUGUUUAAGGCCAUAAAGGGAUUUUUUAAGUCUACAUACUUUAUCCUCAAGGCAUUCUACAACAAAUCCUUCAGGCUGAUCCAUAUAAAUCUCCUCUUCUAAGUCUCCAUUUAAAAAUGCAGUUUUGACAUCCAUUUGAUGUAUAAUAAGAUCAUACAGUGAGGCAAUUGCAAUUAACAUCCUAAUAGAGGUAAUCCUAGUAACGGGUGAAUAAGUAUCAAAGAAGUCAACUCCUUCCUUUUGUUUAUAGUCUUUAGCUACAAGUCUUGCUUUAUACUUAUCAAUUGAACCAUCAGGUUUAAGUUUUUUCUUAAACAACCAUCUACACCCAAUUGUCUUACAUCCUUGAGGUAAGUCCACUAACUCCAAAGUAUUAUUAGAUAUAAUUGAAUCAUAUUCACUAUUUACAGCUUCCUUCCAAAAUAUAGAAUCUGGUGAAAACAUAGUUUCACCAAAAGUAUUAGGAUCAUCCUCUACUAAGUAGGUUAUAAAGUCAGGACCGAAAGAAGUAGUGGUCCUAGGUCUUUUGCUUCUCCUAAUUUCAGCUUCUUCUAAUUCAGAUGGCUCCUCUCUAACACUAGGAGGAAUACUAAAAGAACUGCUUGAUCCUUUAGACUUUUCUUUAAACGGAAAUCUAUUUUCAAAAAAUUCAGCAUCUCUAGUUUCAAAUAUUGUAUUCUUUUCAAUCAAAUUAUUUUUAGAGUCAAUGACUAAAAAUCUGUAGGCAUUACUAUGAAAAGCAUAGCCUAUAAAAACAAAAUCAACAGUUUUCGGACCAAGUUUAGUUCUCUUAGGUGCUGGAAUAGAAGUUUUAGCUAAACACCCCCACACUUUAAGAUAUUUAUAUGAAGGUGUUCUGCCCUUCCACAUUUCAUAAGGAGACUUAUUAUUUUUCUUACUAGGAAUUCUGUUGAGAAUAUAACAUGCAGUAAAAAGUGCUUCCCCCCAUAUGUUAAAAGGUAAUCCAGAAGAGCUUAGCAUUGAUAUGACCAUAUCCUUAAGGGUUCGAUUUUUUCCUUUCAGCUACACCAUUAGAUUGUGGAGAAUAAAGUGGAGUAGUCUCAUAAAUAAUACCAUUCUCAACACAAAAUUUAUCAAAAUCUCCUAUAUAUUCUCCUCCCCUAUCAGAUCUUAAAACUUUAAUAGUUUUGUCUAGCUGAUUUUCUGCUUCAAUUUUAUAGGAAAUAAAUUUUGAAUAGCUUUCAUCCUUACUCUUAAGUAGAUAAAUAUAACAAUAUCGAGAAUAAUUAUCAAUGAAAGUUAAGAAAUAUUUAUUUCCACCACGAGUAACAUAUCCUUUUAAGUCACAUAAAUCAGAAUGUAUCAAACUUAAGACCGAAGUAGUCCUAUCAACAUGAGGAAAUAGUUUUCUAGAAUAUUUAGAUUCAACACAUGUUUCACACUUUGAAUUUGGACAAUUAUCGAUUUUGGGAAUGUUUCCCAAAGUCAUUAAUUUUUUAAUAGAAGUUUUAUUAACGUGUCCAAGUCUAGCAUGCCACAAAUCAUAAGAAUCCAACAAGUAAACGGAAGAGCUAGAUACUUUAUUGUUAAUCACAGAGACAUUGAGUUUAAACAGACUCUCAUCUGCAUACCCUUUCCCAACAAAAGAACCACCCUUAGACAGUACAACUUGACCACUUUCAAAUACAAUCUUAAAACUCUUUUUUACUAAGAUAGAUCCAGAUACUAGAUUUUUCCUAAUAUCAGGUACAUAAAGGACAUCCUUCAAAUUAAGGAUAUUUCCAGAAGUAAAUCUAAGCGUCACAGUUCCUUUCCCCUCUAUUUUGGAGGAGGAAGCAUUGCCCAUGAACAGACAUUCUCCAUCACUAGCGGGAGUGAAUGAAGAAAAUGCACCUCUCGUGCAGCAAAUAUGCUUGGUAGCUCCAGAAUCUCCCCACCAGUCUGUCAUGUUGCUUACUAGAUUCACUUCUAUCACCAUAGCAGAGAAAUUCCCAUCCUCUACCACAUGUGCCUGAUGCUUCACAACUUUUCCUUUCCUAUUUCUGCAAUCCUUUGCAAAGUAACCUGGUUUACCACAAACAAAACAGUCACCAACAAUUUUAUUUUUAAAUUGGGGCUUAGACCGAUUGUUCUUUCCUACAAGUUGUUUUCCCUUAUUUCUGCCUUUAAAGUUCUGACCCCUUGUAAAAUUUCCAAUUGGUUUCUUAGUCCCAGAAAUUCCUUCAAUAAGAUUAGCCUUGGUAUCAAAAUCUGGCCUUUCCUUACGUUCUGCCAUUCUAUUGUCCUCCUCAAUUCUAAUCCUGAUAAUUAGAUCCUCUAAGGACAUUUCUUUUCUCUUAUGCUUCAAACUAUUUUUAUACUCUUUCCAAGUAGGUGGCAAUUUUUCAAUUAUAACUGACACUUGAAAGCCCUCACAGAUUUUAUAUCCUUCAGCAAUAAUUUCGUGAAUUAUAAUCUGCAAUUUUUCAACCUGACUAACCACAGUUCUAACAUCAUUCAUUUUAAAAUCUAAAAACUUUCCCACAACAAAUUUCUUGGUUCCAGCAUCUUCUGUAGCAUAUUUCUUUUCUAAUGAAUUCCAUAACUCUUUUGCAGAUUUACACGAGUAGUAAACAUCAUACAGAUCUAAAGUUAAACAAUUCAGAAUAUAAUUCCUGCACAUAUAAUCCUUAUGUUCCCAAUUAGCUAAAUCCUCUGUUUCCUUAUCAGUGGGAUUAUCAGCAAUUACAAAACUGGGUUUAUCUGAUUCAAUAGCAUCAACGACUUUAAGUGUUGUUAAAUAAAAUCGCAGUUUCAUUUGCCAUCUCUUAAAAUUCUUUCCAUCAAACAACUCAGAUUUUUCAGAAUACUUAGGAACAGAUAUCUCUACAGCAGACAUGGCAACUAAUUAUAAAAUAAUUUCACUUUAGAUUGUUAGAAAAAAUUAAUUAGUUGCAGUAGUGAUCUGAACAAUAUAAUGCAGAAAUAUAAAACUUAUCGUCCGAUCGAGUCUCGUGACAGCAUAAUGUCCUAAAGUGAAAUUGCCCGUCAAUAAUUGCUGCGACCUCCGUGGACAAUCACUCCCAGGAUACAACGAUCGUAAACCACUUGUACAGCAAUCACGAAUGAUUUUUCUAGAACUCUCAAUUGUACUCCAGAAGAGAUAUAAAAACCCGAAUAUAAGAAACUCACAAUAUGAUAAGAGUGAUUGAUGUAAGAUGAUUUUUCUAUUUUCUUUUUGUGUGUCUUUUCCCAAAACGAGAUAUGGGUUUAUAUAGGCAAGAUGGUAGUAAUAGUCUUCACCAUGUUAGUGCAGAAUUUUAAUGACUGAGUAGUAGGUGUUUUAAUAGCUGUUAGUGGGUUGUUACAAAAACAAACAGUCAUAAAAUACUGGCUAGUUUUACCCAUUAAAAAAGAAAAAAAUAUUUAUUUUAGUCAAGAAAGCCCAAGAGCCUAAGGCCCCAAUCAAGACAUUUUAAUAACUGCGUGGGAAGUGAUUCGAACCCCUGACGUCCCACACAAAUGUCACAUUUCCCACCACUUUGGCACUUUAUCUAAUUUGAUUAUUUCUUUCACAUUUUAUAUUUAUACCAUAAAUAUAUAACAGAAGCUAGAUAAAAAUAAACAGUGUUGAAAAAUAUGAUGAUUUUUGCCUGCUCAUUUAUGUGGGAAGUUACUCAUGUUUAUGAGAACCAUCAGAUUUGUUAGCCGCGCAAUUUGGAUUGAAUAUGGGAGAUUAAGUCUGAUAUGAGAUUAUGGCCUGAUGGGAAUGUAAUUGAUGUGAUGGAUUCUCCUUUUGGAAGUGGAUUGAGGCAAAUUUCUUGUAGAAGAGAAUUUUCUGUGCUUGCUGCAGAUUGAGAAAUAUGAGGUGAUUGAAAUGACAUGAUCUCCAGACAAAAAUAAUUCUGUGAUAUGAUGAUUUUGUCAACUAUGUGAGGGAACAUGCAUGCCAGUGUGGUUAAUGCACCCCUGAAACCAUCAGAUAAAAAGAAUGGGAGAACAUCCACGUAUGAGUUUGAGGUCAGUGCUGAGAAUAGACCAUGAUGGCCAAUCAUCGAAGCUAUUGACAAAUUUGUUCAUGGCAAAAGAAAAAAUAAAUAAAUAUAAGAAUAAUAAAUUUAAAAAUAAAAGUAAAACCAAUUUGGAGCGGGGUUCUGUAAGAGUUAUGGAUCAAGCUUUCUAUGAGAUUUAUUUUCUGUUGUUCACUUCAGUAUUUGUAGUUUGUAAUCAUUGGCGCAUCAUGCAAGUUAUUCCUUUCUUUAGAUUUGGGAUGUCCUUGUGAUUUUAUUGCAGGUAGCCGUAUUGAGUGGCUUAAGUUAUAAAGCUGGAAACAACUGAACUUUGAUAUGAUAUCUGGCGACUGUCUUGAACGUAAGAUAUAAAGCUCAUGUUUGAGUCCCAUUUUUUCAUAAGCUCAUUAUCAACCAUGCAUUAUCCCAAUAACUUUGCACGUAAAUCCAAAAUGUUUCCCUACCUUUUAACCACAUAUUCUUCAAAAAAAUCACUUUUUUUAAAAUUUAUUUUUGAAAAAUGGGGCUCAAACAGGGACAAAUUUUCAUUGCCCGACUUAAACGUGUUUACAGUUUUUCUUGGUGACAUGGUAUCCUUAUCAGUGUUUGAUAACUAACUAAUGCGUGUUGGUUUUGGUCUUUCAUAUUUUUUUUUUUGGUUAUUAAUUUAUGCUUAUUCUCUUGAACUGCCAGCCAAGGGUAGAAGUUGCUAUGGUGAAUGCCAGGAUUCGAAAAACAGUUCGAGCAACCAGUGCAACGGUUGGUUACAUAGGCCCUGCUGCUGAUUUCAACUAUGAUCAUCAACAUCUUGGCACGGGCCCUCAAACGCUGAUCGAACUUGCCGAGGGACGCCAUCCCUUUUGCUCUACCCUCUCAAAUGCUAAAAAUCCAGUUAUCAUUGUUGGAGCUGGAAUCUUUGAGCGGAAGGACAAGGAUGCAAUUUUCUCAACAGUUGAUGCCAUUUCCAAAAAUGCGAAUGCUGUUAGGCUUGAUUGGAACGGGCUUAAUGUGUUGCUACUUAAUGCUGCCCAAGCUGCGGCUCUGGACCUUGGACUUGUACCAGAAUCUAACGAAAGCAUUGAAUCUGCCAAAUUUCUCUAUUUGAUGGGUGCUGAUGAUGUGAACUUGGAGAAAGUUCCAGAUGAUGCCUUUGUCGUUUACCAAGGUCACCAUGGUGAUCGGGGCGUGUAUCGUGCCAAUGUAAUUCUUCUUUCAUCAGCUUUCUCUGAGAAAGAAGGGACAUUUGCAAA
rnacentral:lncRNA from 1 species